AUUAUACUUGGAGAAUAACUGAAUAUAUACUUUUUACUGUAAAUUCUAUCAUUUACCAUAUAUAUAAUAUAUGUGUGGGAAUACAGUUCCUGAAUCUACUGAAAUGCUUGUGGGACACAUUCCAUGUUCAUGUUCUCCACAGUGCAGGUAUGUCACAAGUAUACUAGACAUCUUAUUUGGGAGCUCAAGAGUUUAUUGUUUUUGUUUGUUUGUUCU
rnacentral:lncRNA from 1 species